rnacentral:lncRNA from 1 species
UUUCUGCAGUGAAGAUAGAGGCUCAUUGAAGUAUACUGGAAGACACACACCAGAUAGGUCUUUCCCAAUAUUAUCCUUGAUUAUUGACCACAAACCAACUGGCUUCUCUUUUUCCUUUGGUUCUGGCAGACUAUCCCUUCUUUUGAUAUAGGGGUAUUUGAUUGGCUUCACUUCUAUGCCUACUUCCCUUGUAUGACCAGAGAGGUUCUCACGAUAUAGGGAUAUUUGAUUGUGUUUACUUCUAUCCCCACUUCCCUUGUAUGACCAGAGAGGUUCUCAUUCUCAAAGGUCAACGAACUACAAACAUUUCCAGCACCCUCUCUACUGCGAUGAGA